UUAGGAAACUUACUCAAAACCUA
rnacentral:siRNA from 1 species